GACGUAGGGUGUGAGCGUUGUCCGGAUUUAUUGGGCGUAAAGAGCUCGUAGGCGGCUCAUUGCGUCAACCGUGAAAACCAGCAGCUCAACUGUUGGCUUGCGGUUGAUACGGGUGGGCUGGAGUUCGGUAGGGGAGACUGGAAUUCCUGGUGUAGCGGUGAAAUGCGCAGAUAUCAGGAGGAACACCGAUGGCGAAGGCAGGUCUCUGGGCCACUACUGACGCUGAGAAGCGAAAGCAUGGGGAGCGAACAGG
rnacentral:rRNA from 1 species